rnacentral:rRNA from 1 species
GACGAACGCUGGCGGCGUGCCUAAUACAUGCAAGUAGGACGCAGUUGCGAACGGGUGAGUAACGCGUAGGUAACUACCUAUUAGAGGGGGAUAACUAUUGGAAACGAUAGCUAAUACCGCAUACUAGUAGAUGGACCUGCGUGGUAUUAGCUAGUAGGUAGGGUAAUGGCCUACCUAGGCAACGAUACAUAGCCGAGUUGGGAAGGUGAUCGGCCAACCGGGGAAUGGGAACCGGCCCAGACUCCUACGGGAGGGAGCAGUAGGGAAUCUUCGGCAAUGGGGGGAAACCUGACCGAGCAACGCCGCGGGAGUGAAUAAGGGUUUCGGAUCGUAAAGCUCUGUUGUUAAGGAAGCGGUACUUAACCAGAAAGGGACGGCUAACUACGUGCCAGCAGCCGCGGUAAUAC